CCUACGGGUGGCAGCAGUGGGGAAUAUUGCACAAUGGGGGAAACCCUGAUGCAGCGACGCCGCGUGGGUGACGAAGUAUUUCGGUAUGUAAAGCCCUAUCAGCAGGGAAGAAGAUGACAGUACCUGACCAAGAAGCCCCGGCUAACUACGUGCCAGCAGCCGCGGUAAUACGUAGGGGGCAAGCGUUAUCCGGAUUUACUGGGUGUAAAGGGAGCGUAGGUGGCAUGGCAAGCCAGAAGUGAAAACCCGGGGCUUAACCCCGCGGAUUGCUUUUGGAACUGUCAGGCUGGAGUGCAGGAGGGGCAGGCGGAAUGCCUGGUGUAGCGGUGAAAUGCGUAGAUAUCAGGAGGAACACCGGUGGUGAAGGCGGCCUGCUGGACUGUAACUGACACUGAGGCUCGAAAGCGUGGGGAGCAAACAGGAUUAGAUACCCGAGUAGUC
rnacentral:rRNA from 1 species